rnacentral:snRNA from 14 species
AUACUUACCUUGCCUGGAACUUCGCCCAUGAUCAAGAAUAUGGGAGUUCAGCGUGGAGCAUCUGCAUUGCACAUCGCGGUAUCGCUCUACUCUCUAUUACCCUUCGGGGUCGUAGGAGGUGGAAUUUUUGAUUUAAACUCGUUUUCAUUGUAUGUUGAGCUU